GACGUAGGGUCCGAGCGUUGUCCGGAUUCACUGGGCGUAAAGGGCAAGUAGGCGGUUGUCUAAGUUGGGCGUGACAACUCCCGGCUCAACUGGGAGAGGUCGUUCAAUACUGGAUGACUGGAGGGCAGGAGAGGAAAGUGGAAUUCCUGGUGUAGCGGUGGAAUGCUCAGAUACCAGGAGGAACACCAGUGGCGAAGGCGACUUUCUGGCCUGCACCUGACGCUGAGAGGCGAAAGCUAGGGGAGCGAACGGGCUUAGAUACCCGUGUAGU
rnacentral:rRNA from 1 species